rnacentral:rRNA from 1 species
UACGUAGGGUGCGAGCGUUGUCCGGAAUUAUUGGGCGUAAAGAGCUUGUAGGCGGUUUGUCGCGUCUGCUGUGAAAAUCCGAGGCUCAACUUCGGACUUGCAGUGGGUACGGGCAGACUAGAGUGUGGUAGGGGAGACUGGAAUUCCUGGUGUAGCGGUGGAAUGCGCAAAUAUCAGGAGGAACACCGAUGGCGAAGGCAGGUCUCUGGGCCACUACUGACGCUGAGAAGCGAAAGCAUGGGGAGCGAACAGG